ensembl:lncRNA
CCUGCAUCCGGGCGGCGCCGGGCUGCGGUGAGGCGGAGAGCGGCGUGCGUGCGUAAACGUGGGAGGAUACAGGACAGGAGACCUGGAACGUCCGUGCCGUGAGAGACCGGCCGGUCCUCCUGCAGUCCUCUCACACCUGCAGGGUCAGAACAGGUGAACAGACUGAGACGGCUGUUGGUGUGCAGUCCCUGACAGGAGCAGCGGAAGAGCCUUAAGGAAGCGGGGCUCUCCCAGAAGAGAGAGGCACGCAAACACUGCUGCUGUAAAGCUUCAGGUGAUGGGCUGCGACAAUUGCGUGUGCAGCCCUGAGCUCCUCUGCACUCAGCGCUCCUGGAGGGCCGUCCGCAGGCUGCGCUCCUCCUCGUCCUCGUCGUCGUCGUCGUCGUCCUGCUGCUGCUGCUGCUGCUCCUCCUCGUCCUCGUGCCGCCUGUUUGCAAGCCAAGGACACGUGAAAGGAACGUCAGCGGGACUGAGGCGGAGCUGCACCCAGCCUGUGGUGGGCGACCCAAUAAAAGCCAACUGUUUCGUAAGCGUGAUUCCUCGCUCCUCUCUCAGCGGGUAUUUUUUCGCCAAAGAGGUGUUGCUGAGCAGCAGGAUCCGUUCCUGAGGCAGCACGAACGAGCGGUGCCAAAGCUCGCC